rnacentral:sRNA from 1 species
GUCCCAAAACCCGGAUAACCGGAGCGCUCCCCAUGGACCACACGGAGGGCUCGCCCGCGGAGGAGCCGCCUGCGCAUGCUCCAUCGCCUGGGAAAUUUGGUGAGCGGCCUCCACCUAAACGACUUACUAAGGAAGCUAUGCGAAAUUAUUUAAAAGAGCGAGGGGAUCAAACAGUACUUAUUCUUCAUGCAAAAGUUGCACAGAAGUCAUAUGGAAAUGAAAAAAGGUUUUUUUGCCCUCCUCCUUGUGUAUAUCUUAUGGGCAGUGGAUGGAAGAAAAAAAAAGAACAAAUGGAACGCGAUGGUUGUUCUGAACAAGAGUCUCAACCGUGUGCAUUUAUUGGGAUAGGAAAUAGUGACCAAGAAAUGCAGCAGCUAAACUUGGAAGGAAAGAACUAUUGCACAGCCAAAACAUUGUAUAUAUCUGAUUCAGACAAGCGAAAGCACUUCAUGUUGUCUGUAAAGAUGUUCUAUGGCAACAGUGAUGACAUUGGUGUGUUCCUCAGCAAGCGGAUAAAAGUCAUCUCCAAACCUUCCAAAAAGAAGCAGUCAUUGAAAAAUGCUGACUUGUGCAUUGCCUCAGGAACAAAGGUGGCUCUGUUUAAUCGACUACGAUCCCAGACAGUUAGUACCAGAUACUUGCAUGUAGAAGGAGGUAAUUUUCAUGCCAGUUCACAGCAGUGGGGAGCAUUUUUUAUUCAUCUCUUGGAUGAUGAUGAAUCAGAAGGAGAAGAAUUCACAGUCCGAGAUGGCUACAUCCAUUAUGGACAAACAGUCAAACUUGUGUGCUCAGUUACUGGCAUGGCACUCCCAAGAUUGAUAAUUAGGAAAGUUGAUAAGCAGACCGCAUUAUUGGAUGCAGAUGAUCCUGUGUCACAACUCCAUAAAUGUGCAUUUUACCUUAAGGAUACAGAAAGAAUGUACUUGUGCCUUUCUCAAGAAAGAAUAAUUCAAUUUCAGGCCACUCCAUGUCCAAAAGAACCAAAUAAAGAGAUGAUAAAUGAUGGCGCUUCCUGGACAAUCAUUAGCACAGAUAAGGCAGAGUAUACAUUUUAUGAGGGAAUGGGCCCUGUCCUUGCCCCAGUUACGCCUGUGCCUGUGGUAGAGAGCCUUCAGGUGAGAACGCCUAGUCCAAGUUGGCCUUCAGCUCUUUGCAGCUACUCUCAGCUGUGACUUGGCAUCAUUUCAUUUCAUGGGAGUUUUGAUUUUUCUCCAGUCGUCUGAUUAGGGGAUUUUUAUAUACACCAUUUGUUGAUUAAAAAAAAAAAAACAAAAUUAGGAGGAGCGUACUUGCUAGAAAAUUUAAAUUUAAAUAAACUUGUGUGUUAUCUUGAAAUGUUUUUAGCUAGCUUUGUAAUAAAAAACAUUUUAAUUGCCCUUUUUUUUAAAAAAAAUGAAAGUUGAAUGAGAAUCUAAUUUGUGUACUUUAAUGAAAAAUGAAAAGUUUUCUCAGUGUUGUGAUUUUCUGUGAAUUGCAGUUGAAUGGCGGUGGGGACGUAGCAAUGCUUGAACUUACA